AUUGAACGCUGGCGGAAUGCUUUACACAUGCAAGUCGAACGGUAGAGGGGGCAACCCCUCGAGAGUGGCGAACGGGUGAGUAAUAUAUCGGAACGUGCCCAGUCGUGGGGGAUAACGUAGCGAAAGUUACGCUAAUACCGCAUACGACCGAAGGAUGAAAGCGGGGGAUCGCAAGACCUCGCGCGAUUGGAGCGGCCGAUAUCAGAUUAGGUAGUUGGUGGGGUAAAGGCUCACCAAGCCAACGAUCUGUAGCUGGUCUGAGAGGACGACCAGCAACACUGGAACUGAGACACGGUCCAGGCUCCUACGGGAGGAGGCAGUGGGGAAUUUUGGACAAUGGACGCAUGUCUGAUCCAGCCAUUCCGCGUGAAGCAUGAAGGCCCUCGGGUUGUAAACUGCUUUUGUACGGAACGAAAAGGUCUCUCUUAAUACGGGGGACUCAUGACGGUACCGUAAGAAUAAGCACCGGCUAACUACGUGCCAGCCGCCGCCGUAA
rnacentral:rRNA from 1 species